rnacentral:rRNA from 1 species
GUCCUACCAUGCAGUUCGAGCGAGAAGCCUCAUGAUUGCAAACUUCGUGCUCGAAAGAAUGAGCGGCNANNCGGCGGCACGGGUUGCAGCUAACGCGAUGGGCAACCAUGCCUCACACNGAGGGAUAGCCAUUGGAAACGAUGAUUAAAACCUCAUAAUGCAUUUUAUCCACAUGGAUAGAAUGCCAAAGAUUUAUCGGUGUGAGAUGGGCCCGCGUCUGAUUAGUUAGUUGGUGAGGUAACGGCUCACCAAGGCAGCGAUCAGUAGCCGACCUGAGAGGGUGAUCGGCCACAUUGGAACUGAGACACGGUCCAAACUCAUACGGGAGGCAGCAGUGGGGAAUAUUGCACAAUGGGCGAAAGCCUGAUGCAGCAACGCCGCGUGAGCGAUGAAGGCCUUCGGGUCGUAAAGCUCUGUCCUUGGGGAAGAAAAAAAUGACGGUACCCUUGGAGGAAGCCCCGGCUAACUACGUGCCAGCAGCCGCGGUAAUACGUAGGGGGCGAGCGUUAUCCGGAAAUUAUUGGGCGUAAAGAGUGCGUAGGUGGUUACCUAAGCGCAGGGGUUUAAGGGCAAUGGCUCAACCAUUGUAUGCCUUGCGAACUGGGCUACUUGAGUGCAGGAGAGGAAAGCGGAAUUCCUAGUGUAGCGGUGAAAUGCGUAGAUAUUAGGAGGAACACCAGUGGCGAAGGCGGCUUUCUGGACUGUAACUGACACUGAGGCACGAAAGCGUGGGGAGCAAACAGGAUUAGAUACCCUGGUAGUCCACGCCGUAAACGAUGAGCACUAGGUGUCGGGGUCGCAAGACUUCNGGUGCCGCAGUUAACGCAUUAAGUGCUCCGCCUGGGGAGUACGCACGCAAGUGUGAAACUCAAAGGAAUUGACGGGGACCCGCACAAGCAGCGGAGCAUGUGGUUUAAUUCGAAGCAACGCGAAGAACCUUUACCAGGACUUGACAUCCUUCUGACCGCUUCUUAAUCGAAGCUUUCCNUUCGGGACAAAAAAGACAGGGUGGUGCAUGGUUGUCGUCAGCUCGUGUCGUGAGAUGUUGGGUUAAGUCCCGCAACGAGCGCAACCCUUGUCAUUAGUUGCCAUCAUUAAGUUGGGCACUCUAGUGAGACUGCCGGGGAUAACUCGGAGGAAGGUGGGGAUGACGUCAAAUCAUCAUGCCCCUUAUGUUCUGGGCUACACACGUGCUACAAUGGUCGGUACAGAAAGCAGCAAUACCGUGAGGUGGAGCAAAUCUUGAAAACCGAUCCCAGUUCGGAUUGUAGGCUGCAACUCGCCUACAUGAAGUUGGAGUUGCUAGUANUCNNAGAUCAGAAUGCUGCGGUGAAUGCGUUCCCGGGUCUUUUNAAGGGCGCCCGUCACACCACGGAAGUUGGGGGUGCCCAAAGUUGGANCAGUAGAUAGUUACCUAAGCAA